rnacentral:rRNA from 1 species
UACGGAGGGGGCUAGCGUUGUUCGGAAUUACUGGGCGUAAAGCGCACGUAGGCGGCUUUGUAAGUUAGAGGUGAAAGCCCAGGGCUUAACCCUGGAAUUGCCUUUAAGACUGCAUCGCUAGAAUCGUGGAGAGGUGAGUGGAAUUCCGAGUGUAGAGGUGAAAUUCGUAGAUAUCGGGAGGAACACCGGUGGCGAAGGCGGCGAUCUGGGUAGAUACUGACGCUGAGGUGCGAAAGCGUGGGGAGCAAACAGG